AACGAACGCUGGCGGCAUGCCUAACACAUGCAAGUCGAACGAGACCUUCGGGUCUAGUGGCGCACGGGUGCGUAACGCGUGGGAACCUGCCCUUAGGUUCGGAAUAACUCCCCGAAAGGGGUGCUAAUACCGGACAAUGUCUUCGGACCAAAGAUUUAUCGCCUUUGGAUGGGCCCGCGUUGGAUUAGCUAGUUGGUAGGGUAAAAGCCUACCAAGGCGACGAUCCAUAGCUGGUCUGAGAGGAUGAUCAGCCACACUGGGACUGAGACACGGCCCAGACUCCUACGGGAGGCAGCAGUGGGGAAUAUUGGACAAUGGGCGAAGGCCUGAUCCAGCAAUGCCGCGUGAGUGAUGAAGGCCUUAGGGUUGUAAAGCUCUUUUACCCGGGAUGAUAAUGACAGUACCGAAAGAAUAAGCUCCGGCUAACUCCGUG
rnacentral:rRNA from 1 species